UUCCUGAUGGUCUAGUGGUUAGGAUUUGGCGCUUUUACUUUCAUGGCCCAGUUUCAAUCCCUGGUCAGGGAA
rnacentral:tRNA from 1 species